rnacentral:rRNA from 1 species
GACAGAGGGUGCAAACGUUGUUCGGAAUUACUGGGCGUAAAGCGCGUGUAGGUGGCAAGGCAAGUCGGGUGUGAAAGCCCUGGGCUCAACCCAGGAAGUGCACUCGAUACUGCCUCGCUAGAGUCCCGGAGAGGUUGGUGGAACUCUCGGUGUAGAGGUGAAAUUCGUAGAUAUCGAGAAGAACACCGGUGGCGAAGGCGGCCAACUGGACGGUGACUGACACUGAGACGCGAAAGCGUGGGAGCAAACAGG